rnacentral:lncRNA from 1 species
CAAGCCAUCCUCAUUGCCACCUUGGAAACCGCUUGUGAGAGGCAGAGUGGAGGCCACCAUUUAGUGCCAAUAAACAGAAGGCCUGGUUUCUUCAAAAGAAACACAAGAAAUUGUUUCCUGGUUUUGCCACAGAGAUUGGGUCACAGAGUGCCACCUAAAUGGUAUUACCAUAUUUGUGUUGUCGCCUCUUGGUUUGAAAUUUAUUCCUGGUAUGACUUGUGUCUCCCCUUGUUCCAUCUCUGACACCCAAGCCCAUGGGAUGACAACCCAGGCUGAGAUGUCCCAUGUGUCACAAAGGAGUCCUUCAGUAUUUCCAGGAAUAGUUGGAACCAGCACUCCAUCCCCUACCUGGACCUGGCACCCUCUCUACUCUUGUCAAUUCUACACUAAUCACAGGAAGAAGGUGGAAUUAGUCCAAGCUGGGUUUUCAGAAAUAACUUGUAGACAUGCAACAGAUGUUUAUAACCCUCAGAAGCGGAAGGAAACUUGGAAACCCUCUCUUUCGGUGACUUUUUUUCUAAUGAUUGUCUCUGCCAUGAAAUUCUAACUUCAAAUGAAAUCUUUGGCAGGAACCCAGGGCUGUUCUGUCAAGGUUCAGCUGCAGGACCAGAGCCCCUUCCACCUAACCCCCACUCCUAUCCUGAUGCUUCCUGAGGCACAUCUGCUGUGGUUUCUCACCAGAGAACAGUCUGCAAAAUCACUGCACCUUGUCCAACUCCAUUUUCCAACUGAGAAGACUUGGCCCAGAGAAGUGCACAGACUUGAGGGAAGUAACACAGCAAUCGGACAGACAGACAUCCCCAGAUAUACCUGCUACGGUCCUGGGAGAAAAUAGAGACCCAUCCCCAAAUACCAUCAUCCUCAUCAUUCUCUGUAGCCCAAUCAAAUGAUGCUCCAGGCCUGAGAUUUUAUCCAAUGAACACUCUGUACAUCUUUAAAAGAGAUAUGUACUUGUCUUAUUCCUCCUUUCCUUUCUUUAAAAAAAAACACAGGCCCCAGAUCCAGUCAUUCUAAAUAGGAAGGAAAAACAUAACCCACUGAGGCAAUGGAUGCUGUUUCUCUCCCUGCUCUGUGACUUUAGUUUGCCUUUAAAGCCCAUUUUCACCAUUUAUUGAUUUUAGUUUUCUACUUGUCUAUGAAUGACAACUUGAAUUAAGACAACGCAGGCUGAAAAGCCGCUAGGCAGUGCUAAAUGGACAAGCUACACUUCGUGGCAGGAUGUCUCAUGACCGUGCCACCUUCUGCCUAGCCCCAUUCUCUGGAGGAGCUGUGGGCAGACCGACCCCAGCCUGGCCGCCUGGCAUGGGGACUGGUUGCGUCAGAUCGGAGCUCUGAGAUAAGGGUGGGCCAGGGCAUGAUCAUCACCACUGCCAGCCUCGAAGCCUCUUUGCUGACCUGGAGGUGAUCUGUGUAUCAAAGGGGGCUGUGUAUUCAACAGCACUUCCAGAAGAGGCCAAAGAUCUGUCUCUACUUCAGCCUCCACUGGGCAGAAAACUAAGCCUAUUUGCUCUAGGCCCUUCAGACUUGCACUUGGAGAAAGAAAACUCACUAAGUCAGCCCUUAUGUAACUCCACUCUCCUCUCUUCCAAACCUCCUUGCUUUGGACAAAUAUUUGACAGAAAAUGCCCUUUUGCAACGCCUUAAAAGUUACAAAAAUGGUGCACCCUAUCCUUUAAUCUGUACUGUAAAUAAAAAAUAUUAACA